rnacentral:tRNA from 1 species
GGCGUAGCUCAGUUGGUAGAGCAUCAGAUUGUGGCUCUGAGGGUCGCGGGUUCAACCCCCGUCG